UUGUAGAGUAAGCAGAGGUAGUAUGGAGUUUACAAAUUACUUGGAAAAAGUGGCAAAGGCAACCUCUCUCUAGCUUGUGAUUGGAUUCCUAGGGCUGUCACCUGGACCAGUACUACUAUGCUGUUCUCUGCAGUAAGCAUUACCCACCAGAGGGAGCCGAAGCCAAGAACUGUCAGAUUUUGAUCUGCCUUCCAGUUCUCAAGAGCGUUCCCUACUGCAGCCAAGUUCCAACUGAAGGCAGAAAAUUUCAGCAAUGACCUUAUUUGCACCUGCUUCAUUAAUCAUCUGGGCUCUCAUCUCAUAGUAUUCAGCCAUAUU
rnacentral:lncRNA from 1 species